GCCGUUGUAGCUCAGUAGUAGAGCGAUUGUCUUGAACAGAAAAGGUCUCUGGUUCGAUCCCAGGCUGCGGCA